rnacentral:lncRNA from 1 species
AUCAUAUGAAUAAUCAUUAUAGCACCUUAUUUGAAUUGGUCAAUAUGUUGGUAACUAAGGGAUCUUGAAAAGUUCAGAGGUACAUACCUAGAAAGCUUAAAGAAACAAAGACACGCCUUUAGAAGGCAUUGCUUAAAAUUGAUCUUAUGAUUUUCUCUUCUCCUAGUUGAGUAUUAGACUCUAGUGCUUGUUUAUGCACUUUACUAUAGGAUCUAAAGGCAGGAAGAGGGCUGAGGGAAGGUAAGGUGACUCUUUUGAAUCGGCAAUGGAGCAAGAGUUACACUAUGGCUGUGGACACUUAACCUCUACAACUACUGUUUGGAUUUAAUUCUUAGAUUUAGUUCUCUAUCAUUUGUAUGGUGAUAAUUUUAUAAACUUUUUGAAUAAACAGUGAAUGCCAUUGGAUCUGAGAGAUCUAAAGAUCAGACAAACUUAAAGUAUAUAUAUGUGGUACUUAAAGUUAGGUCAUAUAGGAGAAAAAAUAAUUUAUUGAUUAAAGAAAUAUGAAUCUUUGAGUUUAUUGACUGUUG